rnacentral:misc_RNA from 1 species
GAAAUGCGAUAAUUAAUGUGAAUUGCAGAAUUCAGUGAAUCAUCGAGUCUUUGAACGCACAUUGCGCCCCCUGGUAUUCCGGGGGACAUGCCUGUCCGAGCGUCAUUGCUGCCCUCAAGCACGGCUUGUGUGUUGGGCUUCCGUCCCUGGCAACGGGGACGGGCCCAAAAGGCAGUGGCGGCACCAUGUCUGGUCCUCGAGCGUAUGGGGCUUUGUCACCCGCUCCCGUAGGUCCAGCUGGCAGCUAGCCCCGCAACCAAUCUUUUUAACCAGGUUGACCUCGGAUCAGGUAGGGAUACCCGCUGAACUUAAGC